CUGGGGAGGAAUUGAGGCUAGACAUCCAAGUGUGAAACAGCCUCUUUCCAAGAUGAUUCUGGAAUGUUAGUGUUCUGUGGGGACAGGAUCACAGACAUGUGACUCCCUUGGUGUGGGGUCCAUCCCACAGACCCUGAUCCAGCGACGAAUGAAAGACAUACACUGACAGAUAUUUUGCCUGUCAGUGCGACUAAGGGGCUCUGCUGCCUGAGUCUGCACCCGUGGAUGAUCAAAGGUUGGUCUCAGGACCACAUAAGUAAACAAGCUAUUUGGAUAAACUCCCCCACAUUCCUAUGUAUCUACACCCUAAGCUUUUGAGAGAAUUCAGCUGCCUUCAGCCAAACCCUUUACUGAAGUUAUGCAAACCUCUCGGCCUUCCAAGGUUUGUGUCUAUUUCCUAUAACUUUAUCUUAAUUUUCUCCCACCACCCUGACCGAUCCCCUACACCUUGGGGUCACAGAGAAGUGAGGAAGCGGGUAGGAGGGAGAAAGAGAAAAAAAACUAGCAGCCAGAGGUGCAGGAUGCCUCAUUUUGUGUUCAAGCAGUAGAGCAGCAGCCCCAGUCCUGGCUCCUUGCCAAAACAGCUGCCCCUGAGAGGAAGAGGGCAGAGGCGUGUGUGUGGCCCUGCAAGGUCUCCAGCUCACAGCCCCAUCCCCUGCAGGCCUCAUCUACAUCCUGCUCAAGCACAUGGUGGACCGGCACAACCUCUACUUCGUCUACCUCCCAGCCAAGCUGGAGAAGGGGAUCCACUUUGCUGCUGUGAACCAGGCCUUGGCAGCCCCCAUCCUAUGCCUCUUCUGGCUCUACUUCUUUUCCUUCCUGCGCCUGGGUAUGAAGGCCCCUGCCACUCUGUUCACCUUCCUGGUGCUGCUGCUCACCAUCCUGGUCUGCCUGGCUCACACCUGCUUUGGAUGCUUCAAGCACCUCAGCCCUCUGAACUACAAAGUAAAGGUCCCCGACCCCACUGCCCCGUCAAGCCCUGGGAGGAACAGAUGGUGGGACGGGCUCGCUCUCAACGCCUCCCACCCUUGUCUGUAUCAACACAGCAGCAGCCUUCUCCAGAUUCUGCUUCUCCAUGGGAAAGGCGUGGGUGGUUGGGUGCCAUGUGUAGCUUCCCUUGCUCCCCUCAUCCCUGCACUCCCCCACCCCCAUCUUCUCUCGGGCUGCUGCGGAGCUUGGUGCCAGCUGGUACUAUUAUUCCGGGUGUUAAUAGUCUCUGUGUUUGGAGGGUGUUCAUUCACAGAGAUCAGUUUUGUUUAUCAUUGCAAGUUUUUGCUGUUAUCUGCAGACAGAAGAGCCUGCAAGUGA
rnacentral:lncRNA from 1 species